GACGAACGCUGGCGGCGUGCCUAACACAUGCAAGUCGAACGAAGCAUAGCAAUAUGCUUAGUGGCGGACGGGUGAGUAACGCGUGAACAAUCUGCCCUGUACAAAGGAAUAGCCUCGGGAAACCGGGAUUAAAACCGUAUGACACUUUAGUAUCGCAUGAUAAGAAAGUCAAAUCGAAUAGAGGUAUGGGAUGAGUUCGCGUCUGAUUAGCUGGUUGGCGGGUAACGGCCCACCAAGGCGACGAUCAGUAGCCGGCCUGAGAGGGUGAACGGCCACACUGGAACUGAGACACGGUCCAGACUCCUACGGGAGGCAGCAGUGGGGAAUAUUGCACAAUGGAGGGAACUCUGAUGCAGCGACGCCGCGUGAGUGAAGAAGGUCUUCGGAUCGUAAAACUCUGUCCUUGGUGAAGAAAAGGACGGUAGCCAAGGAGGAAGCCCCGGCUAACUACGUG
rnacentral:rRNA from 1 species